rnacentral:rRNA from 1 species
UACCCAUCAGCUAGCCUCACCUAAUACUAAAUAUCUAAUCUACCUAAAUGCACCUAAACAUCUAAACGCCUUAACAAUAAUUAUACUAAACCAUUCUUCCUCCUUAGUACAGGCGACGGAAAAGGACCUCCGAGAGCGAUAGAGAAAGUACCGCAAGGGAACGCUGAAAGAGAGAUGAAACAGCCCAACACAGCCCAAAAAAGCAGAGAUUCACCCUCGUACCUUUUGCAUCAUGAUUUAGCCAGAACCCCUAAGCAAAGAGAACUCUAGUUUAACCCCCCGAAACUGGGCGAGCUACUCUAAGACAGCCUGUUUAUCAGGGCAAAUCCGUCUCUGUGGCAAAAGAGUGGAGAGAGCUUAGAGUAGAGGUGACAAGCCAACCGAGCCCCGUCAUAGCUGGUUGCCUGAGAAUUGGAUAUAAGUUCAGCCUCCCGGAUUCUCCCUUCAUGACUAAUCUUUUAAUAUGAGAUACUCAGAAACCGAGAGAGUUAGUCAAAGGGGGUACAGCCCCUUUGAAACAAGACACAACUUUCCUAGGCGGGUAAAGAUUAUAUUAACUAAGGAAAGGUACUUUAGUGGGCCUUAGAGCAGCCACCCAAACAGAAAGCGUUCAAGCUCAAAUAUACCCAUCUCCCUACUAUCCCAAUAAACCAACCUAACCCCCCUUAAACCCACCAGGCCAUCCUAUACCCCUAUAGGAAUGACUAUGCUAAAAUGAGUAAUAAGAAGGCCACAGGCCUUCUCCUCGCACACAUGUAAAUCGAAAUGGACAAACCACCGAAUAUUAACGACCCCAAACAAAAGAGGGACCUGGAAAACUAAACAAAAUAAACAAGAAAAUCCUCCACCACUUCACUCGUUAACCCCACACUGGCGUGCUAACAAGGAAAGACUAAAACAAAGAGAAGGAACUCGGCAAACACUAACCCCAAGCCUCGCCUGUUUACCAAAAACACCGCCUCCUGCAAACAAAGAAUAGGAGGUCCCACCUGCCCAGUGAUUUUUAUUCAACGGCCGCGGUAUAUUGACCGUGCUAAGGUAGCGUAAUCACUUGUCCUUUAAAUGGGGACCCGUAUGAAUGGUAUAACGAGGGCUUAACUGUCUCCUCUUUCAAGUCAAUGAAAUUGAUCUCCCCGUGCAGAAGCGGGGAUAAGACCACAAGACGAGAAGACCCUGUGGAGCUUAAGACACCAAGACAGACAAUGUAAAUCACCCCUAAAUAAAGGGAUAAACCAAUUGACCCUGCCUCAUGUCUUCGGUUGGGGCGACCCUGGGGAAACAAAAAACCCCCAGAUGGAGUGAGAGCACUAUACCCUUCACCACUCAGCUCCUGCAACUAAGGGCUAUAGCCCUAGUUAACAGAACUUCUGACCAAACCCGAUCCGGCAAAGCCGAUUAAUAAAACAAGUUACCCCAGGGAUAACAGCGCAAUCCCCUUUCAGAGUUCAUAUCGACAAGGGGGUUUACGACCUCGAUGUUGGAUCAGGACAUCCUAAUGGUGCAGCCGCUAUUAAGGGUUCGUUUGUUCAACGACUAAUGUCCUACGUGAUCUGAGUUCAAACCGGAGCAAUCCAGGUUGGUUUCUAUCUGUAGUAUCCUCUUUUCUAGUACGAAAGGACCGAGAAGAGGCGGCCCAUGCUAUAAGUACGCCCCGCCCUGACCUGAUGAAGCCAUCUCAACCAGUCAAAAGGGUAUAGCCCCCCCCCCUGCCAAAGAUGAUGGUAU